UAACUGAAGAGUUUGAUCAUGGCUCAGAUUGAACGCUGGCGGCAGGCUUAACACAUGCAAGUCGAGCGGGGGAAGGUAGCUUGCUACCGGACCUAGCGGCGG
rnacentral:rRNA from 1 species